rnacentral:rRNA from 1 species
ACCCCGCACAAGCGGCGGAGCAUGUGGUUUAAUUCGAUGAUACGCGAGGAACCUUACCAGGGCUUAAAUGCAGAGCGAAUAGUUUGGAAACAGACUAGCCUUCGGGCGAUCUGCAAGGUGCUGCAUGGCUGUCGUCAGCUCGUGCCGUGAGGUGUUGGUUAAGUCCCGCAACGAGCGCAACCCCUAUCUUUAGUUGCCAGCGAGUAAUGUCGGGGACUCUAAAGAAACUGCCUACGCAAGUAGAGAGGAAGGCGGGGCACGACGUCAAGUCAUCACGGCCCUUACGUCCUGGGCCACACACGUGCUACAAUGGUCGGUACAGAGGGCAGCUACCUGGUGACAGGGAGCG